UCAAUGGCUAUAGUGUACUACUAUUCUUGUGGGGCAUCUCUCUCAUCAAAAAUUUGAGGCUCAUCAUCUUGAACUGAUUGAACUAAAGUAUCAUCCUAUGAUGAAUGCACUAAAGGUUUAACCUCAAGCUCCACCUGCUUAUCAAUAUCGUGAUCUUUCUUUAUAGUAACUGACUCAUUUCUUGAAUGAAGCAUAGCCUUUUUAUCAAAGA
rnacentral:lncRNA from 1 species